AUGCCCCCCGCCGCGUGCGCCACGCCGGCGGCCGCGCGCCCGCUGCUCCCCGUCUCGCGCCGCUGCCCGCUGCAGCUGAGGGACGGCAACGCGGCGGCCUCCCUGUCCUUGGGCGGCGCCGCCCUUGCAAAAUCGAAGGCGAAGGCACCGGCGGCUGCCGCGUCGCCGCCGUCGGUGAGGUCGUAUGCUGCCAGGGUUGACGCGGAGAGCAGGGCGGCGGCGGUGGCGAGGGAGAAGGAGGUGUCGCUGGCAGAGGAGCUGGAGAAGGUGCGGGAGCGGCGGGGACGGGUCAUGGCGGAGCUGAUGCGCCUCAUCGAGAUGCAGUGGGGCCAGCGCAUAAUGCGAUGA
rnacentral:rRNA from 1 species